GUAAUACUCCCUCCGUUCGGAAUUACUUGUCACAAAAAUAGAUGUAUCUACAACUAAAAUACAUCUAGAUACAUUCAUUUCUUGGACGAGUAAUUCCGAACAGAAGGAGUAGUAU
rnacentral:pre_miRNA from 1 species